UGCCUACGGGGCGCAGCAGUAGGGAAUCUUCCACAAUGGACGAAAGUCUGAUGGAGCAACGCCGCGUGAGUGAAGAAGGGUUUCGGCUCGUAAAGCUCUGUUGGUAGUGAAGAAAGAUAGAGGGAGUAACUGGCCUUUAUUUGACGGUAAUUACUUAGAAAGUCACGGCUAACUACGUGCCAGCAGCCGCGGUAAUACGUAGGUGGCAAGCGGUGUCCGGAUUUAUUGGGCGUAAAGCGAGUGCAGGCGG
rnacentral:rRNA from 1 species